rnacentral:rRNA from 1 species
AUUGAACGCUGGCGGCAUGCUUUACACAUGCAAGUCGAACGAGUGGCGCACGGGUGAGUAAUACAUCGGAACGUGUCCUAUCGUAGGGGAUAACUGCUCGAAAGCGCAGCUAAUACCGCAUACGAUUGGCGCGGCCGAGGCCCGAUUAGCUAGUUGGUGAGGGAAAGUCUCACCAAGGCGACGAUCGGUAGCUGGUCUGAGAGAACGACCAGCCAAACGGGGACUGAGAAACGGCCCAGACUCCUACGGGAGGCAGCAGUGGGGAAUUUUGGACAAUGGGGGAAACCCUGAUCCAGCCAUGCCGCGUGCAGGAUGAAGGUUUUCGGAUUGUAAACUGCGUUUGUUAGGGAAGCGGUACCUGAAGAAUAAGCACCGGCUAACUACGUGCCAGCAGCCGCGGUAAUUC